GCCCUAAAAAUGUGUCACAUAGACUUCAUCGAAAGAAUCAAUUCUUUCCCCCUUUUUAAUUUUUCAUUUCUCCCUCCGUCGGCCGCCCCUACCGCCGGAAUCCCUCUAAAAACCCCUAAAAUCCUUCCUGAUUAUGUAAAUUAAUCCAAUUUUCCACUAAUCGGAAACCCUAAUCACCAAAUUAACCAUGGCUUUCGUGGAACUAGUGGCAAUUGAAGGUCUCCGGUGGUCAUGGAAUUCAUGGCCAGUAUCAAAAUCCGAAUCGUCAGCGUUAAUUAUCCCUUUUAUCAAUUAUGUGUACACCGUUAAUGAAUGAACUUCCUAUACUUCCUUAUGAUCCUCUUAUAUGUAUUCAGUGUGGAGCUGUGUUGAAUCCGUAUGCUCGGGUCGAUUACCAGUCGAGAAUUUGGAUUUUCCUUUUUUGUUACCGGAAGAAUCCGUUUCCGAAAUCUUAUUUAGGAAUUAAUGAGAAUAAUAUACCUGCUGAGCUUUUUCCUACUUAUAGUACAGUUGACUAUCAUUUAGGGAAAAGGGUUUAGGUCAGAAUUCGAAUUCGAGGUCGUUAUCGAAAAUGAAAUUAUUUUCGGGGUUGGAUUAGGCGGGAAAUGGGGUUGGAGGAGGACCGGCGUUUCUGUUUGUUGUAGAUGGUUGUACGUCGAAUGAGGAGCUAAGGGUGGUGAAAAAUGAGCUUCUUCAUGUGAUUGCUUAGUUGCCGGAGAAUGCGUUAGUUGGGUUGGUGGUAUUUGAUUCGAUGGUUAGAGUUUAUGAUCUUGGUUUCGGGGAGUGCUGUAGAGUUGUGAUGUUCCAUGGUAACGUGAGCUUUCUUCCGAGCAGGUAAAAUGUCGUAGAACCUUCUCAUGGAAUUGCGAUGGGUAUAUAUUGUUUUUGUUUUUUUUGUUGUUAAUGUGCGUAUCCAUUAUGUGUACUUAAUUAAUGUAUUUUAACAACUUCCUAUACUUAUGAUCCUCUUGUAUGCAAUGUGGAGUAGUUUUGAACCCAUAUGCUCAUCUCAAUUACCUAUCGAGAAUUUGGAUUUGCCUUUUUUGUUACCGGAAGAAAUCGAAUUCGAGCUCUAAUUUUGGAAACCUGUUAUUGUAAUCGAAAAUGCCUUUGUUUUUGAGCUUGUAUUGAGCGGGAAUUAAUUGUAAAUGAUUUUGGCGAAGAUCACUUAUUAGAUGGUAACAAAUGCUUGGCUUGACAAAAGGGUUGUUUUGGUUGUGGAAAGUCGGGUCACAGAAUUAAAGAUUGCCCAUAUGCUAAGCAGGAAAACAGAGAUCUUGAAGGUCAUCAUCUUAUGCUUACCCACAUCAUCCUUGAUCUUCAUCAAAAGAGGAUCUAAUACCUAUUUCUCCUUUAUUUUCGAACCGUACAUGACAUAUAUACCCUUGAAUUAAUUAAAGUUUAUUUUCGAAAUAAAUAUAAGUCCCCCUUUUGGAAAAAGGACAUUGUAAUAGACAUUCGUUUACAUUGGAUGACAUAAUGCAAUAAUAAUAAAUUAUUAUUGCUUCAAUCGUAUAAAACAAUUAUUAUGUUGGUUUGGCCUCCCUCGCCAAUUUUAUUCUAUAAAUGUUACUUUUGGAAUAACUAUUGUCUUUGUUGCUUUCCUUUAUAAUAAAUUGACAAUAUACACAAAUAGAGAAUAAAUUCAUAAAAUAUGUAACAAAAUAGAAAAUAAUUCAAGAUAAAAGUUCGUUGCUAUAUUUUUUUGGAAUAUAUCAGAGGGGUAAAUAAAGCUAUAAUUAUACUAUAAUUUUAU